CACCGCUGCCACCCCAGAGCCGCUUUAGGCAAAUGCAUUUAAAUGCCUCCACUUUUGAUCUCAGUUUGCCCAGUGGGUUCUAUGGAAGGGUGUGCCUCAACAUAAAGCUUGCAUAAACACUCCAAAAGAACAUCAGGCCAGGGCCAGAAGCAGCACAAGCACAGCUUCUCAUGGUCUUCGGGCACUUCCAUUGCCUACUGCAGCCAGAAGAGGAGCAAUAGAGCUGUUACAGGGACAUGAAAUGCUUGUGAAGAUGAACAGCUACAGAAUAUUCCAAAAUUAUCCAGAGGGAGAGGUGAAUUCACAUGAAUGCAGCUCUGAACUUGGGGUCUUCAAUGACCAAGGACAACACCUGGGAGUUGGGGGUGAUGGUGGAGGGAGAGGGGAUGGGCAUGUUAAAGGAGCUUUUGUUUGUUGGACUUCCUCGCUGCAAGCUGAGAACCUGAGGCAAAGGACACUGCCCAACCUACUCUGGUGUGGUUGUUUCGCUCAUGGUCAUAUGCUUCUGAAUCCUGCUUGCAGUGUUUUCCCAAGUUAAUGCCAGAUUUCUUUCCCCUUUGUAUUAAAAGUUUCUUUUCUAUACACAGACUCGGUGCUUGCAAGAGGGGAAGUAUUGCCUCUUAGAGGUGCCAAGGGAUGGUGUAUAAUUUUCACU